rnacentral:lncRNA from 1 species
UAUCCUGCAGGCUUUCAACCUUGACCAGAGGUUUUCAUAAUGAAUGCAGCAUCCCUGGGGAGUGAUCUGAAGCUGGCGAGGCAAUGAGAACACCCUGGCAGGGCAGCUGAGCUGGGUGGAUCCUUGUUCUGUCACCAAGCCUUUAAGUCAUAUGCUGACAUGUUACAGUCCUGCCUGGGACCCUGCCCACAAAUACUUAAGAUACACGACUUUGGGAAUCACCCAACUGAUGGAAAGAACCAGGAAAGGGGUCAGGAUCUGCACCUUGGCAAACUUUGAAGAACACCCAAUUUGAUGAAUGAAAACUCCUCACUUGUGCUCUGGUGGUGUUUUAGGACAAUGGGCCCCUCCUGGAUGCUCCAGUGAAGCCCCAUAUCACCUUUUUCCUUCCUGUUUGCCAUAGCUCCAGGUGUAGGGACAGAUCAGAAGAUUCUGGAAAAGGCAGAUCACCAAAGAACUCAAGAUGUACUGAUAUUUUGCCAGUUUCCUUCAUCAACAACUUGUCUUCUUUACCAACUAAGGGCAAACAAAGAGAACAAACUAAAAAAAAAAAAAAAAGAAAAGAAAAGAAUUAAAUAAUUAAACAAAGAACUUAAAUAAGAAGGAUGGUAGAAAAUAGCAGCAAGUAAGGACUACAGAUUUCACCCAGAGGCAGAGCAGACAAAAGAGACAACAGUUUCCUGGGAAAGGAAGAUGAUUCCAGUUUAAUUCAUCCAACAAAACUCUUCCAAGAAUGAGACCAGAAACCCUAACUGCAUCUUGGAGGGAGCUGGAGGCUUUCCCAUCACAAUGAGGCCAACUGCUACCAUGGGUGCCAGUGCCAGAGCCACUGUCUGCAGGCACUAUCAUGUCUGUGUGGGCCAAGGAGCAAUCUAAAUUAAGAUGAUCAUCUAGGUCCUCAGGCCCUCAGGAAAGGUUGUACCUGCCUACAAGAUUAUCAACACCAUGUGAGAACAUCCACUUUGCUGAACUCUUUCUCACAUAUCACCUUUAGAGAUGUUACAUGGUAUGCUUUUAAUUAUCAUUUAAUCCUUUGCUAGUUAGAUUAAACAUGGCAAGUUUCACUAACCGUUAGUACUUCCUUUUUAUGUGAAAUGUCUGUUCAUGUUCUUUGUCCAUUUUUCAAUAGCA